AAUGCCAUUUUCCUUCCUAAUUCAUCGGAGAGCUCUCUUUGGGUG
rnacentral:sRNA from 1 species